AUCAGGCUAAUUGACAGGUGGCAGAAGGGGUAAAAAUGUAUAUAAUAUAAAGUGACAUUAAGGCCAUGAAGACAGACUGUACAAUAACAUGCUGAAAGUGCAAUAAGAGUUUGACGAAGGCCCACGUGUAAUCCCUUAUUGACAAUUGCAGAACUCUGGCCAACAGAUUUCACAUUGGGAUAUAAUGGCAAGUUGGGAUGAGAAACUUCUUACAGCUGCAAGGGAGGGGAAUAUAAAAGAGGUAGAAUUAUGUGUAAAGAACAGAGCUAACUUGGAAUGUAGUGAUG